UUAGGUAAACGCGCGAAAAGCAGUGAUUUUGUCAAUCUUAUUUGUAAAUUUCGUUAAGUUUGGACUGCUAAAAAUGGUAAUUUUGUAUUACACAUAUCCUGUACUUCAACUUUAAUAAACUACAUUUUUGUUACUAUAAAUUUGAAGUAUUGUAAAUGAAAGUUAGACGAAAUCAAUUUUCUCCAGAAAUUACUUCAAAACAAGUGACAAUUUCUCUGAAAAUUGACUUAAUUUCAACGUAAUUUUGAUACUUAAACAAUCUACAACAUUUGCUGAAACUGUUCUUAUACAUCAUUUUCUAUAAUUUACUACCAUAAUUUAUAUGAAUUUUUAAAAACUAUCCCUUCUCGUCACCUAUUACCGGGGAUGCACGCUUGCGACCUCAUUAUUAAAAGGCAAGAUGAAAAAACGUGCUAAUAGAAACCAAUACUUGUUAUUUAGAUAUUACGUAACAAAAGGUGUACAAUUCCAACGACUAAAUCUAUCAAUUUAAAAUUUUUGCUCUAAAAUCGUUACCGGGCUCUUAAGAUAGGAUGACAUGUUCCUGAUUCCAACAAUCAGGAACAUGUCAUCAUCAGAUCAUUCUGUUAAUUAGAACGUUGCUUAGACAUUCGUGAACGAUAUCUUGAACACAAGUAACCAGCGGUAGAAAAUGUUCUUUCGCAUUCCACACUUGUCGGACACUACAGACUAAAACAAAGGACACUGAACAUAGUAAGGCGGGUCGGGUAGGGGUGGCGAGAAGGGAAAGGGCGAGGGAUUAGCGACCACUCAUUUGUCACAAAACAUUGCUUCCUAGUUUCACUCCGACGAGAUCAUAAGAUGCAGAAAAGUAAGUAUUUUAAGUGUCUCUUCGUAAUCGCAAACCGUAGUAAUUGUUUUUUUUGUAAGUACGUAGACAUAGAUGGGCUAAUUCAACAGGUUGUUACAUUUUUAUUUGCCUAUACAACGUUCGGUAAAUUCCCGGUUACGGCUGGAAAUUACCGGUAUUUUACCGACUGUAAUAUUGGUCAAAUUACCGGGUAACCGGUUAACCGGUUAACCGGUUAGCAUUCCCUAGUUG